CAGAGUUCAUGCCCUUACGGGUAGAUCUCCCACCCUUGAAUAUUAUACCUUUGUUGCUUUGGCGGGCCGCCUCGGCUACCGGCUCCAGCUGGUAAGUGCCCGCCAGAGAACCUAAACUCUUGAAUUAUAGUGUCGUCUGAGUACUAUAUAAUAGUUA
rnacentral:misc_RNA from 1 species